CAUGCAGUCGAGCGGGAUUAUACGGACGGAAGCUUCGGUGGAAGGCUGUAUAUGAGAGCGGCGAACGGGUGAGGAAUACUUGAGUAAUCUGCCCUCAAGCCCGGGAUAGCCAUCCGAAAGGAUGAUUAAUACCGGAUGUGAUCGCUCCCGACAUCGGGAGUUGUUUAAAGGCGGGGAUUCCUUCGGGAACCUGUCACUUGGGGAUGAGCUCGAGCCCUAUCAGCUUGUUGGUGAGGUAAAGGCUCACCAAGGCUUAGACGGGUAGCUGGUCUGAGAGGAUGGUCAGCCACACUGGGACUGAGACACUGCCCAGACUCCUACGGGAGGCUGCAGUCGAGAAUCAUUCACAAUGCGCGAAAGCGUGAUGAUGCGACGUCGCGUGGAGGAUUAAGGCCCUAGGGUCGUAAACUCCUGUCGGGAGGGAAGAAACUUAUCUUGGUUAACACCCUUGAUAAUUGACGGUACCUCCAAAGGAAGCCACGGCUAACUUCGUGCCAGCAGCCGCGGUAAUACGAAGGUGGCGAGCGUUGUUCGGAUUUACUGGGCGUAAAGGGUACGUAGGCGGCCUUGUGUGUCGGGUGUGAAAGCCCACGGCUCAACCGUGGAACUGCACUCGAAACUGCAGGGCUAGAGUAUCGGAGAGGUAAGUGGAACUCUUGGUGUAGCGGUGAAAUGCGUAGAUAUCAAGAAGAACACCGGUGGCGGAGGCGACUUACUGGACGAAUACUGACGCUGAGGUACGAAAGCCGGGGGAGCAAAGAGGAUUAGAUACCCUCGUAGUCCCGGCUGUAAACGGUGUGCACUUGGUGUGGGAGGAUUUAUCCCCUUCCGUGCCGGAGCUAACGCGUUAAGUGCACCGCCUGGGGAGUACGGUCGCAAGAUUAAAACUCAAAGGAAUUGACGGGGGCCCGCACAAGCGGUGGAGCAUGUGGCUUAAUUCGAUGCAACGCGAAGAACCUUACCUGGACUUGACAUGCCCGUCGUACUUUCCUGAAAGGGAGAGG
rnacentral:rRNA from 1 species